rnacentral:rRNA from 1 species
GAUGAACGCUGGCGGCGUGCCUAAUACAUGCAAGUCGAGCGAACGGACGAGAAGCUUGCUUCUCUGAUGUUAGCGGCGGACGGGUGAGUAACACGUGGAUAACCUACCUAUAAGACUGGGAUAACUUCGGGAAACCGGAGCUAAUACCGGAUAAUAUUUUGAACCGCAUGGUUCAAAAGUGAAAGACGGUCUUGCUGUCACUUAUAGAUGGAUCCGCGCUGCGUUAGCUAGUUGGUAAGGUAACGGCUUACCAAGGCAACGAUGCAUAGCCGACUUGAGAGGGUGAUCGGCCACACUGGAACUGAGACACGGUCCAGACUCCUACGGGAGGCAGCAGUAGGGAAUCUUCCGCAAUGGGCGAAAGCCUGACGGAGCAACGCCGCGUGAGUGAUGAAGGUCUUCGGAUCGUAAAACUCUGUUAUUAGGGAAGAACAGAUGUGUAAGUAACUGUGCACAUCUUGACGGUACCUAAUCAGAAAGCCACGGCUAACUACGUG